rnacentral:miRNA from 1 species
CAAGGACCCUUCAUGAUAAGC